UAAAGAGAUGUCAGGUAAAGAGAUGUCAGAUAAAGAGAUGUCAGGUAAAGAGAUGUCAGAAAUGUCCACUUGAUCCGAAAGCGGGUGUGGGGGAAAUAACUUUUACCAACCUUUACCCAACAGACAGAGUUCAAAGAAUAAGUUGUGCAGCAAAGUCUUAACUUGAUCAGAGAAUGAGACAUUGGAGAGAAAAAAACAUGUUCCUACUUGUUACCAGACAGACAGACAAUAUACAUCAACUGUUGAAUUUCUAGGAAAAUUGUUAGAACCGUUUUUGAGAUCCGCUGUCCAGGUUCCUGGAACCAGGUUGCAUGAGGUUCUUACUUGAAUAGAGGUAUUGGAAUAAAAACAAUUGAGAUGCAGGAAUACACUGCAGUCAAAUGAUAACAACAAAAUAUAGUUUGCAAUAAUUAAAUACUUGAAAUGUACAUAGAUGUUGAAACUGCUUCGACUUCCUUUGGCUUGACUCUGAUAUCAGGCAUGUAGUAGAAGAGAAUCACAAGAUUCGCUACCAUCCCAGUGGUUAUAUAAAUCAGUGCUUUCAUUUCUGGUAGGAGGAAAAUAUGAAACAUUUAGUCAAACACAUGAAGGAAACAUUGUACAUUUCCUUUUGUCACAUCAGUAUGUGUAGAGAUUUCAACAGAAUCCAAAUGUUUACAAAAUACACCAUACAAUAAAUAAAAUGCAGUACAAAUUUAGAUCCAAGAUUUUUAGAUUUGGCAUAGUCGAGCAGAGUGGUAAUGCUGAGGUCCUGGGUUCGAAUCCAGUGAAGACUGGGAUAUUGAAUUUAGAAAUUAAUUUUUAGGGCGCUCGACCAACUUUAAAUGAAAACCUGACUUUAUUUUAGGAAAGUAAAGGUGGUUGGCCGUUGUGCUGGCCACAUAACACACUGCUCGUUUACCGUUGGCCAAAGAAACGAAUGACCUUAACAUCACCUGCCCUAGAAAUCCCCAGGGGAAAAGAGAAGUCUACGAAGUUGACCUGCAAAAUUCAACUAUAAUGGUUUACGAAUUUAUAAGUAUUUAAGAUUUGGGGGCAUCUUUCACUUUAGUUUGAACUGUUGAAAACUAGACUAACUAAGUUACCAUCUGCACCUUAACUAGAGUAACUCUUUUUUGAUUUGAUUUCAUCUUAACUAGGCUGACUUUUCCUCUAUUUGUCUUUAGAAAUAAUUUUAAUAACUUUGAAUUCUUCUUUGCAUAUGAAAACUAGACAGUCUAGACUCUUUCUAAAAAUGAAUACUGUCUUUAAACUUAGAAAUUAGCUUAAACUAUUCUAGGAUAUAAGCUGUAUAAAUUAAGAACGCUAAAAGACUAGGUCUAUUUGUUGAUAACAGAUGUUAGUCACUUUUUCUCACUCUUUCUGAUACUUACAUGAUUGUAUUCCAGAAUCUCAGCUCGGCAAUGUAAUUAAAUUAUGUACAAUUUGUUUAAAUAUAAAGGCAAAUAAUUUGC